GAUGAACGCUGGCGGCGUGCCUAAUACAUGCAAGUCGAGCGAACAGACGAGGAGCUUGCUCCUCUGACGUUAGCGGCGGACGGGUGAGUAACACGUGGAUAACCUACCUAUAAGACUGGGAUAACUUCGGGAAACCGGAGCUAAUACCGGAUAAUAUAUUGAACCGCAUGGUUCAAUAGUGAGAGACGGUUUUGCUGUCACUUAUAGAUGGAUCCGCGCCGCAUUAGCUAGUUGGUAAGGUAACGGCUUACCAAGGCAACGAUGCGUAGCCGACCUGAGAGGGUGAUCGGCCACACUGGAACUGAGACACGGUCCAGACUCCUACGGGAGGCAGCAGUAGGGAAUCUUCCGCAAUGGGCGAAAGCCUGACGGAGCAACGCCGCGUGAGUGAUGAAGGUCUUCGGAUCGUAAAACUCUGUUAUUAGGGAAGAACAAAUGUGUAAGUAACUAUGCACGUCUUGACGGUACCUAAUCAGAAAGCCACGGCUAACUACGUG
rnacentral:rRNA from 1 species